UCCGCCCCCGCCCCCGCCCCCCCAGCGCGCGCUCCGGGGAGCUAAGCCGGGAGAAGCCCCACCCCGGCGGGAGAGGGAUCACCAGAGGCAGGAGAACCCAGAUCCUGGGCAUGGCUGUGGAGCAAUCCGCCGAAGUGAAAGGGCCUCUCCAACUCGGAGCAGAGCGAGUCACCCGCCCUGGGAGACGUGACGGCCAGGAGAGCAGCACCUCGAGCUCUGGCUGGCGUCCCGAAGCGUCUUUGAACACCUGUAUGCCGCUUCUUUUGAGACAGGAGAUACGACCUAAAGAAAACCCCUAGGGUCGAGAAGAAGGGAAGUUUUGCUGGGGAACGCCCGAGGGAGGCCUCCAUUGAUUCAGCAACUUGGCCUGCGCCGGGCGGGGCGGGGCGAGGUGGGGGUUGGGUAGGCCUGAGAGGGGAGCGUCGGGGUUUAUUGCACAAACGGGCAUUUCCCCUCCCGGGGUGUUUCCGCGGUUGUCUGGCAAGCUCACUUCAGGUGAGGACCCUGAGAACCCGAUUGCUCCUUCCUCAGCUUUCCUGGAGUUCAACCUGGGAAGGUUGGAGAAGACUUGAACCGAACCUGGAACUGAGUUGGUAGCUCCUGCCUGAGUGCAGGACCCUCGGCCAAUUGCGGGGAACCACCAGCAGAAGACUUGGCGUUCACUAAGCUCUUGAUCUUGGGGUUGCUCAUAGGAGCCUCUUAAUAUUGUAUCAAGUGGCAGUCAUCAAAUGGAAAGGUAGAUAUUGUGCUAUGGGAUUCUGAAAAGAGAGGGUCUGUUAGGUUGUAUUUCUCAAAAGAAGAACAAAGUUAACUACUUAGGACAAAUAAAAAAAAAACAGCUGUAUUAAAGGUUCUCAACGACUUCCUCUCCUUUGUUACUCAUUAUUUCCUGAGGAAUGUUCUUUAAAAAAAAAAAAACAAACUUAUAAUUCUUUAGUGCUCUCAUUAACACAGCUCAAAGGCACUAUUAUUUUGGAAAAAGGAGAUAU